UACGGGGGGGGCAAGCGUUGUUCGGAAUUACUGGGCGUAAAGGGCUUGUAGGUGGCCAACUAAGUCAGACGUGAAAUCCCUCGGCUUAACCGGGGAACUGCGUCCGAUACUGGCAGGCUUGAAUUCGGGAGAGGGAUGCGGAAUUCCAGGUGUAGCGGUGAAAUGCGUAGAUAUCUGGAGGAACACCGGUGGCGAAGGCGGCAUCCUGGACCGAUAUUGACGCUGAGGCGCGAAAGCCAGGGGAGCAAACGGG
rnacentral:rRNA from 1 species